UUUAUAUUUUACAAAGAUGUCCUUUUAUGUAAUUUUACAUGUUUUAAAUGGGUUCCAACUACUUUUGCUGAACACUCGGAUACAAAAAUAUAAGCUACGGCUUCCAGCUAGUUUUGCUGAAUAUGCCCUAAUUUUAAAAUUGGGUUCGUUAGUUUUAGGUCUCUCAUUUGAUCCUUGAAAAGAGGAUUCUCCAGGAUGAUGAGAUUAUUGAAUUGAUAUGUUCAAAUGGCUGUCAUACGGAAAUGGUAAUCUAUGAAAAAAACUUUUAGUAGAUACCAAAUGAGAUUCUGAUGUAAGAUUAUGUAAUAGGCUCCCUCUAUUUAGUGGUGUUUGCUUAUUGAUUCAUGUUUCAACCGCCUUCAAAGAGGCUACGAUCUGGGGACAACCCUAUCCCUAUGGAAAGAGAGCUAGUGUUUGUUAUAGUAAGUUUGUGUUGCUUUACUUGCUUAUACAUUAAAAUCUAAAGCUUCUCUGUGUAGUUCCUUUAGUAUCAUUUUACUACAUUAACCGAAUCCAUUUUCUAAUUUAUUCAGAUGAUUUUGGUUUCAAUCAUAUACUGUGGUUAUACAGUGGUGUUCAUUGUUGGGUUUGUGAUGGAAAAGCAAGAAACUUGAAUAAUGAACAGAAGAGAGCUACUGCUGACUAUUUUCGUGUCUACAAGGGUACGUAACAACAAUAGUAAAUCAAAGGAGAUCGAAUUCUGACUUUUUUGAGAAGAAAUUACUUUGUAGCCACCAGUUACUUAUGAUUCCCGAUGAAUAGCUUAGAGGAAAAUGGCAAGAUGAUAGGCGCUCUUCUAGUGGAAAAGAUGUUAAUGUUGUGAGAUGGGAACAAUUAAAACAGCUUCUUCAGUCUCGUUUGUUAAGGAGAUUGUCUUUUCUUUCACUUAUCCUAGGCUUGAUAUGGAGGUUUCCAAACACAUGAAUCAUUUACUGAAGGCACCAUUUUCUUCUUCUUCGAUGUUCAUCGGUGAUUUUCUUCUCCAAACUCCAUCAUAAAAGGUUGUUUCUAACUCCUUUCUUAUUUUCUGUUGUUUCUUCACAAUUUAUGUUUUUCGGUUGAUCGUUUCGAUUUAGGGUUUCCUCAUUAUCGUUCACACUGGAACGGAUAUUUGUCUUUAAGAUUCUGGUACUGUGAGUUUCUUUGUGGUUUGUUGCAGGUUGGUUCACGUGUUGCUUGUGUUGGUCGCUUGCUCUUGAACAUCUUAUUGAACUGUAGUCGGCUGAACUUCGGUUGAUUAAUCUGUUUGUCUGAAAUAACUCUCUAAGGGUCGGAUUUCAUCACCGAUAAACCCUAAGUAGAGAACGGACAAAUAGAGUCGAUCCUUCGAGGCUUCAUCCUAAUAGCACUGUGAGGGAUUUCUUGUUCCUUUUCUUAUCUCUUUUCAUAUUAUGAUUGGGAGAUCCUGGUUGUCUUGUGAACACUAGAUUUCUUGAUUGUCUGAGUCCUUCUUUGUCUGAUUACCUGUUGGUUAUUUGUUUGCCUGGUUUUUGUUUGUGAUUAAUUUGUCCUUAUGGCUGGUUCUUUUGAACCUCCUAGUAGAAGUGGAAAGGAUGAUCAAGUUAAUUUUGAUGAUCUUCUCUUUGUCAAAACUGCAUUUUCUAUAAGUCAAGAAUCAUAUUUUACUUAGAACCUUUACCUAAUGUUAAAACUGCAUUUUCUAUAUUGUCUAGAGAAGCAUCUCUUCAAAGAAAUGGUUCUUUGUCUUCUAUUCAGUCAUCUCUACUUUCAUCUAAGUCUCAGUCUACUGCUUUCAAUAGUAUGUUUAAUAAUAGGUUUAACUCCAAUAGUUCUAAUAAGAAUAAAAAUCAAGUUGUUUAGUGUAAGAAUUGUGGUAUUAAAGAUCAUUCAAUUGAAAAAUGUUACAAGAUAAUAGGAUAUCCAAAAGACUUUCAGCAAAGAAGCGAGUCAAAUAAUCAAAAAACCUUCUAUGUUAACUCUGUUACCACUUCUUCUGGGAGCUCUAAUGCUCCUAACUUAACUGAUUCUGUUGGAGAUUCUGAGUUUCAUCAGGUUACUAAGGAACAGUACAUCAAGUUUUUACAACUUAUAAAUGAUAAGCAACUUAAUGAGGAAGCAUCUGCUAGUGCUAAUAUGACAGGUCUAGCAUUCCCUCCGCUUUAAAUCUGUCCUUAUUGUCAGGGUUUUUCUGAUAUUAUCCCAAUAUCAACACUCUUAUGGAAGAUGAACUUUCUUAAUUGUAUUGCUGCAUAUGCUAAUUUUCUAAGGUACAAAACCAAACUUCACUUUGCUUAUUAGUUUGUUUUUUUAAUUAAUUAAUUAAUUUAUUUAUUUAGCAAAAUGUCUGAUAGAGUAUUAAUGAUAACUGGAGCAGUCAAGUGUUUCUAGCAAUUUGAAAAAAAAAAAGCCAAAUGAGCAU